rnacentral:rRNA from 1 species
CCUACGGGUGGCAGCAGUGAGGAAUAUUGGUCAAUGGACGGAAGUCUGAACCAGCCAAGUCGCGUGCAGGAAGACGGCCCUAUGAGUUGUAAACUUCUUUUGUAUGGGGGUAAACCAGAAUACGUAUAUUCACUUGUAUGUACCGUACGAAUAAGGAUCGGCUAACUCCGUGCCAGCAGCCGCGGUAAUACGGAGGAUCCGAGCGUUAUCCGGAUUUAUUGGGUUUAAAGGGUGCGUAGGCGGAUUGUUAAGUCAGUGGUGAAAGUUCGGGGCUCAACCCUAGAACUGCAUCUGAAACUGGUAGUCUUGAGUGCAGGAGAGGUAGGCGGAAUGCGUGGUGUAGCGGUGAAAUGCUUAGAUAUCACGCAGAACGCCGAUUGCGAAGGCAGCUUACCGGACUACAACUGACGCUGAGGCACGAAAGCGUGGGGAGCAAACAGGAUUAGAUACCCCGGUAGUC